AGCGUGACGGAUUUGGAUUGAUA
rnacentral:siRNA from 1 species